rnacentral:rRNA from 1 species
AGCGAACGCUGGCGGCAGGCCUAACACAUGCAAGUCGAACGAAGUCUUCGGACUUAGUGGCGGACGGGUGAGUAACACGUGGGAACGUACCUUUUGGUUCGGAAUAACGCAGGGAAACUUGCGCUAAUACCGAAUGUGCCCUUAGGGGGAAAGAUUUAUCGCCAUUAGAGCGGCCCGCGUUGGAUUAGGUAGUUGGUGUGGUAAAGGCGCACCAAGCCUACGAUCCAUAGCUGGUCUGAGAGGAUGAUCAGCCACACUGGGACUGAGACACGGCCCAGACUCCUACGGGAGGCAGCAGUGGGGAAUCUUGCGCAAUGGUCGAAAGACUGACGCAGCCAUGCCGCGUGAGUGAUGAAGGUCUUAGGAUUGUAAAAUUCUUUUAGCAGGGACGAUAAUGACGGUACCUGCAGAAAAAGCCCCGGCUAACUUCGUGCCAGCAGCCGCAGUAAGAC